UCAAGCUGCCAGUUUCUUCUGGAUAGGUUCUAGCAAGGGGGUAAGAUUCGUUCUGCUUAUGUCCCAUCCUCCAUUUGGACCGGCCUCAAACGUAUGAUUUACUCAGCAAUAUUCGCUCUCUUCUUGGAGAUGGUGAUUUGUUAGUUUGGGCGCCAUCCUCGUCUGGCGGCUUCUCUGCUAAGGAUGCUUAUGAAUUCACACGGCCUAAGUUUGCCAAGGUUCCUUGGUGAUGGCUCCGGAGAAUAUUAAUCAUUUAUUUUCUGAGUGCCCCUUUACUUGUUCCAUAUGGAGUUCUAUGUUUAUUGUUUUUGGUCUGCACUUUACUUCGGGGCCUUUAGCGGUUAUUCUUUCUUCCGGCCUAUCUGCUCAUUUUAGCCCUCAGCUCAUGGAUCUAUGGCUUCUAAUGUUCGGAACUAUUGUGUGGCUAAUUUGGGAUUUAAGGAAUAAGUUGCGGUUUGAGGAGAAGGUUUCUACGGUUUCUUCUAAUUGUCGUACCAUUAUUAAUCAUGUGCCUGCCUCUAGUCCUCUAGCCAGGGGUCAUAUGUUGAAUAAGGUGCGUGAUCUGUGUAUUAUUCGUUCCAUUGGGGUGCAUUAUCGUCCCCGCCCCAAUUCCAAAAUUGUUGAGGUUACGUGGCAUCCCCCUUGUUUUGGCUUUGUCAAAAUUAAAAUUGAUGGCGGUCGCAAAAGAGACUCUGGUAAAGCAGGUAGUGGUGGUGUGUUUUGCAAUUACCAGGGCCAUGUUCUUGGGGCAUUUUCAGCCAAUUUAGAUGUUCCUAGUGGAGUUCAUGCUGAAG